AUUGAACGCUGGCGGCAUGCCUUGCACAUGCAAGUCGAACGGCAGCACGGGUGCUUGCACCUGGUGGCGAGUGGCGAACGGGUGAGUAAUACAUCGGAACGUACCUUAUCGUGGGGGAUAACGCAGCGAAAGUUGCGCUAAUACCGCAUACGCCCUGAGGGGGAAAGCGGGGGACCGUAAGGCCUCGCGCGAUUAGAGCGGCCGAUGUCUGAUUAGCUUGUUGGUGAGGUAAAAGCUCACCAAGGCGAUGAUCAGUAGCUGGUCUGAGAGGACGAUCAGCCACACUGGGACUAAGACACGGCCCAGACUCCUACGGGAGGCAGCAGUGGGGAAUUUUGGACAAUGGGGGCAACCCUGAUCCAGCAAUGCCGCGUGAGUGAAGAAGGCCUUCGGGUUGUAAAGCUCUUUUGUCAGGGAAGAAACAGCAGCUCUAACACAGUCUGCGAAUGACGGUACCUGAAGAAUAAGCACCGGCUAACUACGUGCCAGCCGCCGCGGUAA
rnacentral:rRNA from 1 species